UACCUAAACAAUGAUUAAUGAUUACCAAAUGUCUCGCUCACAUUGAUCCUCAUAACCACUGAAAACUGUCCAAAAAAAAAAAAUCAAACCAGAAAUUUAGCAAUGAUUGAUUGUUGUUAAACCACGUUAAGCUUUUUCACAUUAUGACUUAUGAAGCCCAUGAGAACUGUGGGGAGUCAACCCCCCGUAUAAUGCAAGAUGACGUCCAUAAUAAUAGGACUUUGGGUUAGAUUUUUUGACAGUUUUCAGUAGUUAUGAGGAUCAAUAUGAGAGAGAAAUUAGGUGAUCAUUGUUUAGGUAAAUUAAACCACAUUGUUUUUUCCUCGCCA